AAUGAAAUGCAUUGCCGCUGUCAUUUGUUCCGUCUCCACUGGAUUAAGCUGCUGGAUUCAGGUCACCAGAGUGACCUGGCCACAUGCCAAUAAAUGGCUAAGCUUGUUAUUAUAAAACCAAUCCUUUGUGAGUGACCAGCACCCGAGUGCUCCUGAAAUUAAAUACAUUCCUUGGGCAAGCUCCCUUUGAACUUGCUGGUCUUUAAAUUUCACAAAGAACUUGGAGUGCUACUGAUCUUUGCCUUAGGUGAGAAAGACAUAUCUUAACAUUCAUUUUGCAGAGGCUUUGCAAAGCUCUAGCAAACCCGUUUUAGGACACAUCAGAAAAUGGUACUACAGUCGUCGUCUCCCUCUACCACAGAGCAGCAGGUUGAAUGGAGAAAUGUCCAGAACGGGGCAUCUGCAUCAGAGGUAAGAAUGCAAAUGUUGGAUUCCCACCAUCCCUGGUCAUUGGUCAUGCUGAUGGUGGCUGAUGGCAGAUGGAGUUCAACAUGUUCUGGAGGAACACAGUCGCUCCCCUCCCUCAGUGUGGUGUAGUGGUUAAGAGCAGUGGACUCAUAAUCUGGUGAACUGGGUUUGCUUCCCCGCUCCUCCACAUGCAGCUGCUGGGUGACCUUGGGCCAGUCACACUUCUCUGAAGUCUCUCAGCCUCACUCACCUCACAGAGUGUUUGUUGUGGGGGAGGAAGGGAAAGGAGAUUGUUAGCCGCUUUGAGACUCCUUCGGGUAGUGAUAAAGCGGGAUAUCAAAUCCAAACUCCUCUUCCUCAUAAACACAAACUUUUUCAAUCUCUGUUUCGUUCACAUUUUUGAGAAACUUUGAAAGUCGUGACUAACCAGCCUUCUCGAAGAGUGCUAAUGAUUACAAGGAGGAGCUAAGCCAGAGUCAGCAUGCUUAUAUUGCCCAGAGGAACCACCUUCCCUGGGGCGCAAGUGAGUGUGUCAUGGGGGUGGGGCACGCCAUGGGGGUGGGGCACGCUGCUGCACUGACCCCUGCCCACUGGAGCUAAGCGGGGCUGCGCUGUGCUGCCUGCCAGGCCACGCAGUUGGGAGGUCGGUCAGCCGACACCCCCCUGCUUUGAGGGAUGCAAUUAUGGCCCCUUGCAAGACUUGCAAAACCAGCACUGGGUUUGCAGGGCACCGUGGAAGUAUUUUCAGACCUCCCAACCCUGCUUAUUUCCUUGAUGCUAGCAUGCUUCCUGGCUUGAGGCCAACAAUGGCACAGCCCCAUUCCAGAAGGAUUCUAAUGUCAUAACCUAUGGAUACAGGAUUUUUUUGUUUUUUAAAAAGAGAUGUUUUAAAAGAAUGAGUCUGAUUUACAGCAGCAUAUCAUAAAACAGAGGAAAGGGCUUGGUCUCAAAAACGAAAGCUACCCUCCUGCCUCCUCUUCCCACCCUCCAUAUUGCAAUCUAGGUUAAACUACCCAAGAAAACAACGCCAAGGAACUUGGGACUUCAGAAGUUCUUUUGUACCUCUACCUAUGUUCACAAGAUAGACAAAAAUCACUGGCUAAAAAGCUCUGGGAUUUUCAAAAGCAAACUGAGUGUUUUGUAGUGUUUUCAAACUGUUCCCCAAAGCAGCAGAGGCAAAAGACAAUUUAAUGUCACUCUGGCAACUCCUGUAAUAGAAGAAGCUAAUCAGGUAGUCUCUGGAAACAAAGGAAGGAGUAAUAAAACUUCAGAGAUAAGCUACACUUUGAACAUGUCAAAACCAGCCUUUCCCAAGGAAGAAAAAAGUGAUUUGUAUGCAAAUAAAGCCCAGUAUUUGCCGCCAAACCUGAAGGAAUACAGUUUUGGAACGCAUUUAAAGUUUGUCACGGCUCCAUUAAAAUGAAAUGCCAGCUUUGGGCCUGUCAUUGUCUCCUUUAGUGCCAAAGCAAACCAAAGAAACACAGAAGCUGCAGCCUACACUCAUGAAAAACAGACGCUGACACCUUGUAGGCAGUAAACCUUUGGCACCUCAUCAGCCUACAGCAUAGGCUGCUAUAGGACUCCCAAAAGACACAUUUUCUGCCGGGGAGCAGGUGCUACUCAGAUGCUCAACAAAGAGAAAAUGGAAAGUACUUGAUGUAUUGCAUAUAUCAAGUUUCAUUAUAUUAUCAACUUGCUUUACACAUGUCAAUGAAGUCUGGAUCCAGAGCUCACUGAGAUCAAUAGUAUGAUCUGGAGUGAUUUUCUUGCACCAUUAUCUGGUGAGAACAAGAGUAGAUCAGAGAUCCACUGGUACUCCACACCUGUUACUGUCUGAAGGGUUUCCAUGGCAUUUGACAACCAGCUAGUAAGCUUGGGUAGCUGAAAAGCUUUGCCCAGAUCCUUUCCUUGCACAUUUCCUUCCAACAUGAAGGAUCACUUGUACUUCUUAUCAGGGCUGGCCCAAGAUAUUUUGGCAUCUGAGGUGGACCUAAAAAUGGUGCUUCCCUUCCCGCUAGAGAAGAAGGGGUGGGGGUGGGGAGAUCGACAUGAGCAGAGCAACAAAAGAGCAAGAAAGAUUGACAUCAGGAUCUGCUGCCCCUGUGGACCUGGCCUCCUGAGGCGGUCGGUCACCUCACCCUGCCUCAUAUGUGGGCUGGCCCUGUUUCCUAUACUACUGCAAAACAGUCCUCAGCAUCAGGGGUUGGAGGAAUAGGGCAGUGGGACCAGUAGGGCAGAAGGCACUGUGAGCAGCCAGAAACAAUGACUGGCAAUAUCAUGCAAACUCAACUAAUUCUAGUUUUGCCCCUACCCUUCUUCCCAGUGGGUUAUACAGGGGAACCAGGGAUGUGGGUGGUGCUGUGAUCUAAAGCACUGAGCCUCUUGGGCUUGCCAAUCAGAAGGUUGGCGGUUCAAAUCCCUACAACGGGGUGAGCUCCUGCCAACCUAGCAGUUUGAAAGCACACCAGUGCAAGUAGAUAAAUAGGUACCGCUGCAGCAGGAAGGUAAAAGGUGUUCCCAUGUGCUCUGGCACUUGUCACGGUUCUCUGUGCACCAGAAGCGGUUUAGUCAUGCUGGCCACAUGAUCCAGAAAGCUGUCUGUGGACAAACGUCUGCUCCCUCGGCCUGAAAGCGAAAUGAGCGCUGCAACCCCAUAGUUGCCUUUGACUGGACUUAACCAUCCAGGCGUCCUUUACCUUUACAGGGGAAACAAUAAGGCAAAGGAAGAGGAAGCAGACAGGUCUGGUUCUAAGAAAGAAAGAAAGCAGGUGGGGACUGGUUGGUGGGACACUGCCCCAUUCGCCCCAAAGCCUCCACAACAUCCAUCUACUUAUGUAACCAUUUCCCACCUCACUGCCCAGCCUUUGCUGAGAAUCACUACCACAAUAUGAAACCGAAAGCCCUUAUCGUUAUGCAAAGAAUUUUCUAGUCAGCAGCAGGAGCAAUUGCUUGGAAGUUUCUCUCAGAGACAGAGCUACUAAUAACAAUAAGAUUUCCCCCCUCCCGCUUAUCAUCAUUCAUGUUCUCUGAAUAGGAAGUUUCCUCAACAAAUAUAAAUCAGAGUGAUGGGAAAGUGGAGGCAAGCAAGAAUAAGGAAACAAGAGGUGAAAAGUAGGUUGUUAUUUUAGCCAAUGGGUAGUAAAAAAAAUAUCAGCUCAUGGAUUUGUCCUAUUUUCUACCCGUACAAAGUUCUAAUAGGCUCCCUGAUAUCAAUGACAUAUUAUUUUUUUAAUACGCAUGGCUUACAUAAUUUAAGACAAUUGCAUAAUUCUACCAGGCCUUUUGACCCUUCUCAUAUUUUUUCGCUUCUCCACAUGCAGCAACAAAGUUAAUGAGGGUUUGCCGAAGAGACCCAUAUGUGAUAAGCCAAGUUCGCUUUCCAAAUAACAAAGCUGAAAUUAUUUCUGAACAAGAAGGAAACAAGAAUAAUCUAGGGAUAUUUUUGAACUGGAAUGGCAUGAAGGAAGUUUGAAACCCACCUGUCUUAUCCAAGCUCUUUUGGCUUCACUUGGAAUUUCUUAGGCAUUUUGCC